rnacentral:rRNA from 1 species
UAACACAUGCAAGUCGAGCGGUAACAGAAAGAAAGCUUGCUUUCUUUGCUGACGAGCGCGGACGGGUGAGUAAUGCCUGGGAAUAUGCCUUAGUGUGGGGGAUAACUAUUGGAAACGAUAGCUAAUACCGCAUAAUGUCCUUGUUCAUUACGAGCGGGACCAAAGAGGGGGACCUUCGGGCCUCUCGCGCUAAGAUUAGCCCAGGUGGGAUUAGCUAGUUGGUGAGGUAAAGGCUCACCAAGGCAACGAUCCCUAGCUGGUCUGAGAGGAUGAUCAGCCACACUGGAACUGAGACACGGUCCAGACUCCUACGGGAGGCAGCAGUGGGGAAUAUUGCACAAUGGGGGGAACCCUGAUGCAGCCAUGCCGCGUGUAUGAAGAAGGCCUUCGGGUUGUAAAGUACUUUCAGUCGUGAGGAAGGCAUUGUAGUUAAUAGCUGCAGUGCUUGACGUUAGCGACAGAAGAAGCACCGGCUAACUCCGUG